GCACAGAGUUAGCCGGUGCUUGCUAAAGGGGUACCGUCAUCACGCCGGGUAUUCGCCGGCGUCUAUUCGUCCCCCUCCACAGAGCUUUACAACCCGAGGGCCUUCAUCACUCACGCGGCGUCGCUGCGUCAGGCUUUCGCCCAUUGCGCAAGAUUCCCCACUGCUGCCUCCCGUAGGAGUCUGGACCGUGUCUCAGUUCCAGUGUGGCUGAUCAUCCUCUCAGACCAGCUACCCGUCUUCGCCUUGGUAGGCCAUUACCCUACCAACUAGCUGAUGGGCCGCAGGCUCAUCCCCUGGCGCCAGCUUUCAAUGAAGAGGCCGGCUUUGACCUCAUCCCCUCGCGGGGUCGUGGUCUUAUGCUGUAUUAGCCCUCCUUUCGGAAGGUUAUCCACCACCUGGAGGCAGAUUACCUACGUGUUACUCACCCGUGCGCCGCUUUACCGGGGUUUCCCCUUUCUCGCACGACUUGCAUGUGUUAAGCGCGCCGCUAACGUUCGUU
rnacentral:rRNA from 1 species